UUUCUACUUCUGUCUCCCUCCUCUGCUCUGUCCCUCGCCUGCCUCCCCCACCUUAACCUUAUCCUGCCAUGGACCUGUAACUGAGCCCGCCGCGCUUGGGAUGAAAGGCUAUCUACCUCUAAGGUUUCCUGGCAGAGAGAAAUGGAGAAUGAUGACCGGUUACACUUUGCAUCUGAAAAGAAGGAAGGAAGGAAAGAGAAAGAAGAGCAACAAAAAGGAAAAGAAGUUGGUGAGGACUUCCUGUGUUAGGUUGCCAAGAGCGUCUUACCAUCAAGCUUAAGGAAUGACAAGAACUUCCCAUUCUAAGCCUUCAAUGUCAAGUAAAGCAGCUGUCAGCCCAUGUGGCUGCUUGCUACUCACUCGUGAAGAGGCUGACACAGUGUUUAUAAAGGACACAGAAGAAGGAAGCUUCUCUCUUUUUGCCUGCUUGCCCUUGCUGGCAAGUCCACUCCUUCUCUGGUGUCAGAGACUACUUCUCCAGGAUUCUGACCUAUACUGAGGACCAGCUGAAAGAGCCAGCCUUGAGAACUGAGCAACUGCUAGAUUCUUGGACCUUCCAUUCAUAUGCAGCCAUUUUGGAUUAGCUGGACCUAUAAGCUAUUCUAAUAAAUCACCUUUCUGUGUCUAUAAAGAUUCAUUCCAUAAAUUCUGUUCCUCUAGAGAAACCUGAGUAAUAAAUAUCACCUCUGAAACUUAAAGCGAACCUUCCAUUAAAUGCUUUCUCUUAUAAGUUUUCUUGAUUAUGGUAUCUCUUCGUAACAAUAGAACAUUAACUAAGACAAGAGACAUAGAAGGGUAAGAUGGAGGGGGAUUAUGUCAUUAUGUUUUAAUUUAAAACUUUGAAAUAAAAAGUAUAAUGAAAUGAAACUUUAAUAAUCAAUCAUUUAUCAUCCUCAAAUUUUAUCUUCUCCUUUUCUUAUGUAAGUCUGACUAAAUGAUUAUGAAAUUAGACCUAUUUUGUUCUGCAGUUAAACAUGUACAUUAGAAGAGGAUAAUAAAGAGCUGAA